rnacentral:rRNA from 1 species
CGGACGGGUGAGUAACACGUGGAUAACCUACCUAUAAGACUGGGAUAACUUCGGGAAACCGGAGCUAACACCGGAUAAUAUAUUGAACCGCAUGGUUCAAUAGUGAAAGACGGUUUUGCUGUCACUUAUAGAUGGAUCCGCGCCGCAUUAGCUAGUUGGUAAGGUAACGGCUUACCAAGGCAACGAUGCGUAGCCGACCUGAGAGGGUGAUCGGCAACACUGGAACUGAGACACGGUCCAG